rnacentral:rRNA from 1 species
ACGUAGGGUGCGAGCGUGUCCGGAAUUAUUGGGCGUAAAGAGCUGUAGGCGGUUUGUCGCGUCUGCCGUGAAAAUUCGAGGCUCAACCUCGAACUUGCGGUGGGUACGGGCAGACUAGAGUGUGGUAGGGGAGACUGGAAUUCCUGGUGUAGCGGUGAAAUGCGCAGAUAUCAGGAGGAACACCGAUGGCGAAGGCAGGUCUCUGGGCCACUACUGACGCUGAGAAGCGAAAGCAUGGGGAGCGAACAGGAUUAGAUACCCUGGUAGUCCAUGCCGUAAACGUUGGGAACUAGGUGUGGGUCUCAUUCCACGAGAUCCGUGCCGCAGCUAACGCAUUAAGUUCCCCGCCUGGGGAGUACGGCCGCAAGGCUAAAACUCAAAGGAAUUGACGGGGGCCCGCACAAGCGGCGGAGCAUGCGGAUUAAUUCGAUGCAACGCGAAGAACCUUACCAAGGCUUGACAUAUGCGAGAACGCGGCAGAGAUGUCGUUCUCUUUGGACACUCGUAUACAGGUGGUGCAUGGUUGUCGUCAGCUCGUGUCGUGAGAUGUUGGGUUAAGUCCCGCAACGAGCGCAACCCUCGUUCUAUGUUGCCAGCACGUGAUGGUGGGGACUCAUAGGAGACUGCCGGGGUCAACUCGGAGGAAGGUGGGGAUGACGUCAAAUCAUCAUGCCCCUUAUGUCUUGGGCUUCACGCAUGCUACAAUGGCCGGUACAAAGGGCUGCGAAACCGCGAGGUGGAGCGAAUCCCAAAAAACCGGUCUCAGUUCGGAUUGGGGUCUGCAACUCGACCCCAUGAAGUCGGAGUCGCUAGUAAUCGCAGAUCAGCAACGCUGCGGUGAAUACGUUCCCGGGCCUUGUACACACCGCCCGUCAAGUCACGAAAGUCGGUAACACCCGAAGCCGGUGGCCCAACUCGUAAGAG